rnacentral:lncRNA from 1 species
GUUUCAAUCUGAGAUGAAGCAUCCGAGCCACAAUCACAUGUUGUACUGGCUAGUCUCCAUCAUGGCUUCAUAGCCCAUUGGACUUUCCAACCAUGAGAAACAAAUGAUGUUUGUGCUCCAUUGCCUAACAAUUUCUUAGCUCCAAACCUACCCAUUGGACUUCCUUAUUCCAGGUUCCACUUGGAACCGGUCCACCAAUGUCACAUGUUUCAAGUGUUAGUGACUUGCCCAG